GACGAACGCUGGCGGCGUGCUUAACACAUGCAAGUCGAACGGAAAGGCCCUGCUUUUGUGGGGUGCUCGAGUGGCGAACGGGUGAGUAACACGUGAGUAACCUGCCCUUGACUUUGGGAUAACUUCAGGAAACUGGGGCUAAUACCGGAUAGGAGCUCCUGCCGCAUGGUGGGGGUUGGAAAGUUUCGGCGGUUGGGGAUGGACUCGCGGCUUAUCAGCUUGUUGGUGGGGUAGUGGCUUACCAAGGCUUUGACGGGUAGCCGGCCUGAGAGGGUGACCGGCCACAUUGGGACUGAGAUACGGCCCAGACUCCUACGGGAGGCAGCAGUGGGGAAUAUUGCACAAUGGGCGGAAGCCUGAUGCAGCAACGCCGCGUGCGGGAUGACGGCCUUCGGGUUGUAAACCGCUUUCGCCUGUGACGAAGCGUGAGUGACGGUAAUGGGUGAAGAAGCACCGGCUAACUACGUG
rnacentral:rRNA from 1 species